ensembl:snRNA U6 U6 spliceosomal RNA
GUGCUCACUUCAGCAGCACAUAUACUAAAAAAUUGGAAUGAUACAGAGAAGAUUAGUAUGGCCCCUGCACAAGGAUAAAAUGCAAAUUUGUGAAGCAUUCCAUAUUAAA